ensembl:lncRNA
UUCAUUUUUCACUUGUAAUUUUAUUCAAAAAAACCCCAAACAGCUGAAGUAUAUUGUGCAUUCUUUUCCUGACAGUCCAAAUACGAAAAGAAAUAUCCAGAGUUAGUACAUGAAAAGUAAUAAAGAUGUAACAAUGCAACAGAGCAGGAAGGUAAGAGCAGACACUUUAGGUCAGCCCUUAGUUCCUCUACCAUCAACACAGUCUGCAACAGCAGCUAGUAACAGAUGCCUAAGGACAAGUGUAAGAAUAGGAUAAACACACUGUGACAAUUCUCCCAUCACAGCCUGCCAGCCUCUGGUAAUCUGUGGCAUAUGGUCUCCCAAGCCAGAAGCAUGAUGACAGCAUUUAAUACACUACUCCUCUUUGAAUUUCUCUAGAUUUUUAACCCAUGGCAGCUUCUGACAUCCAGUGUUUUCUGUCAACGUAUUCCACAAUUCACUACAUACAGCUUGUUUUCAUAGUGCUACCUUAAUUUUUAUUGGUUUUUUUUUUUUACACUGGAGGAGAAACAAUCAUUAAUUAUACCCACUUCUCUCCUACGAUGUUCAUGACCUUACAGAUUUCUCAUACACCCCUGCACCUUAAUCUUUUCUUUUCUAGGUUGGAAAAUCCUAGCGACUUACAUUCUCCCUUAGAGAAGGAGUCGCUUUGCCAUUCCUCAGAACUCCUUCUACCUGUGCUACCUUGGACCAGCUACCUUUGGUAUUCAAGGCCCAGGCAUACCAUGGUGAUGGCAGCAAUGAUUUCUAGUAGUUUUCUUUAUUACUUUUAUAAUUACUAAUAUCUCAACACUUUUUGGUAAGCCAUGGCUUAUUAAACUACCAUUUCCAUAAAGUGACUUAGAGUAACCCAAGAUCUUCUUCCUGACAGGAAACGGAUACAAUUCAUCUUGUUAUUGUAUGAAAACUAAGAGCUGCUUUUCUUCAAAUAGUUAUAUUUAAUCUCUUGAAUUUCAUCUGCCACUUGAAAUCCAAAUCUUUCCCAAAAUAAAUAAUCAACAGGUAUUCCUCACAUACAUCACAUUUCAAAUCUCUUUUUACCCAGGUAAAAAAAUUUUGUCUUGCUAUAAAUUCAUUUUUCAACAAAAUCAAUACCAUUAUUACAAGAGCACUUUGCUAUGAUUUUUAUUCUUAACAUACAGGCAUUACUAAUGCAGUGAAAUUCAUAAAAUAAGAUGAUCACCCAAAGCACAACUGUAUCAAUGACCAACCAUCACAGACAUACUUUUCCCCAGAAAAAGCUUCUCAAGCCGGAAUAAACCAGGAGGAGCUGAAAAUGCACAGGGGUAAGAUAACAUGGACAAAGCUUUCAGCUGCACAUAAGCAAGAAUCCUCAUAUAUUGUCACCAGAAUCAAAGGAAAUACAGUAGAUUAAGUAUCCCUAUAAAUCCCAUCCAAAAUACUGAUUCACCACCAAAAUAGAAUUUUUAGUUACCAGUGUUUACAAACAAAAUCAUUGGCAAGUAAUAUUUCAGCCUAACAGAAGAGGUUGGAGAACUUGUCAUUUGUCAGUCAGGCUUGCGGCCAAGACACCUAAAAUCUAGUAAACAAGGUACAGCAACAGCUGCUUUUAGACACGAUGAAAUGUAGCCUAAGUAGAUUUAAGAUUAGAUGUAGUUCCCUUCAAGGACAUGAUUUUCUACUAUUCUCAUAAAGGUUUUUACAUGAGUCAAGUGAAGAACACAUCUACUUCAAAAAUUAAAACAAAAAAUUAAUUUAAAGUUCAAAUUCAAAAUUGAACUUAACCCCAAAAGUCAGAGAACAAGUAAAGCACAGCCAGCAAAGGAAAAUAGUUCAGCUAGUUCCCAAGAUAAGACAUCACAGAAAAUAUGGUCUCUGAAAGUCCUGAGUUAAAAAAUGAAAAAUCUUAAAAAUAAUGUAAUUAUGAUAGCAUGUAGUUACACUUAUAUUUAUUAGAUUUCUUGUUUUUCUAUAUGUCAUCUUCCUAAGCCAACAUGAGACACUGCCUGGACAAUAUCAAGUAGCCAAUAUUAUAGAGAAAGUUUGGAUAAAAUCCUUUCAUUUAUAGCCUCUCUGUUUUGGCUUUGGCAAUUUUGCUACACACUUAGUAAACUAACCCAACUCCAGCCCCAAAGCCCUUGAAAUUAAGAAAAAGCCGCCACUGAAACCUUGCCACUUUAUGACUGUUUACAACCCUUAUGUACAUAUAGUUGCUUUAAAACUCACUAUAAAAAUUGUAGUGUCAAAAAUCUACCUGAUUAUAAUAAAAUUAUCUUAUGAAGAUCUUGUUCAUCUAUUGAGGGCAUUGAUGAAAAACUGUUCCUGACCUAGUAACAAUUCAUUACUUGUAGUAUAUAAAUCUCUCUAUUUUUAAUUGCAUCAAAUUUCCUUACCAUUAAAAACCCUAAUAAACAAAGCUCCACAAAAACCUUGUUGAGGCAGUUUAAGGCAUUAUUGCCUUCAGAUGUCUAUACCACACCUUUUGCGGAGGAUUAACUCCAUGUAGUAAAAGUAUAAGCAGAGUACAGGAACAUACUAUAGCCACGCCAGUGUUCUCUCCUGUACAGCCCUACUCACUGCCAAAAAUAGGUCUGUGCUAAACUGCCAGACUGACCUGAAACAACCAAGGUAAGAGGAAGGGAGGUAUGUUUCAUUCUGCUACUAACAGUAACAAUUCAAACCACCACAGGUUUAGUCAGUGAACAUGAAUCAGAGGUUUAAAUGGCAUGUCGUACUGAGAGAGGUCUAGAUGAAGCUCAGCAGGUAACAGAGGUAUACAUAUAUUCCAAAGUGACACAAGUGUUUUGUAUUUGAAAACCUGUAUUUAAACACAGAUGCAACCACGGAGAUAAUGUAGUGCCAUUAAGGUAAACUACUGAAGUAAGUAAAUAAAGGUCACUUGCUCUCAGUGUUUGGCCCCCCAAGGCCACAACCUCACCUGGACUCAUUUGAUGUAAUAAUAUCAUGCAACAGAUGAGGAGCAGUCCAUCUAAGAACAGUCAGCUCUUCUGCCUCAAUACACCGUUCCUAUACUUGUUCCCCCACAAUAAAACAGCUAACGAGAACCUGUAUGCUAUAAUCACUUUAAUAAACACUAAAUACCUGUGGGUUCAGCAAGUGUCUUUCCUAGGUCAGAACAAAUUUGCCUGAUCAUGGAAAAUACCAUUUGUCCAUUCUAAAUUUUGAUGUCACAGAACAACUUUAAAAUAGUACAUGCACAAGCAUAAAUAACACUGGGGAGAUCAUACAAGGACUAGAAACCCUCCCCUGGUGCGGGCAUUUCUGCUACAGACUUUCCUGACUAAAGCGCAUGAAACUGAAUGUCAAUGUUCCACAAGCAACAUACUUUGUUCUCCUGGGGGAACCCCAAUAUAUUUCCCUAACUGCUAUCCUAUUCUUCAUUUAAAUGUCUCAUAAAAUAGACUUCUUCCAUGAUGAAAAGAACUGGUGCUUAUUCAAAUCACUCCUAGAAGAAGGAAAAAACAGACAUCUAUUUCAUUUAAAGAAAACAAACAAAAAGCAAUGCUGUCAAGAUGCAGAAAUGCCCUCACAUGAUUAACACUGACAUCUCUGAGCUUCCCCUUCCCAAAACCUCUGUGUUUUGUCACUGUUUCUAAUACUGCCUGUUAUAAAAUUCAGAUUGCGAGCUUUGAGGCAUGGAUGAACAUGAAAAGUGAAACUCUCUUUCCUGGUAAUCACUGCUCUAACAAAAGUUUCAUUUUGAUCCAAACCACCUUUUCUUUGUUCAGACCAAGUCACACGGUGAUUAAAAUGAAAAGCCUUUAGCACUGCUGUCACAUUCUUCUCAAGAGAAGGUUGGCAGCAGCCAGCAUAAGACUGUGAUAAAAUCCUGAAGAUCUCCAGGCAUUUUUACUGCCUGAAAUUGCUUUUCCUAGUCUCCUGUCAGUGCAGCUGAAAGCACUAAGGUUCUUUAUAUUCAUCCUACCUUUCACAGUACUUGGACAAAAGAAAAGUCCAUAGAAAUUACGGAUGUAAAAGUGAGGGGGGUUUAGUAUUCUCUUAAGGCUCUGCUGGGGCACAGAGCCAUUAAAGCUUCUUCUCCAUUCACGUACUGUUCCUUUAGCACUUAAAGCUCAUGGACCUCACAGGACUUUCUUAAUAUCAGAUCAAGAAAGAAGUCACUUCAGAAUGACCAGAAAAAUCUGUAAGUAGGAAUCUACUCUUUAAUAGUCUUUUAAAUUGCUUUCACCCCACUAAUCUACAAUAACACCACAGACUUGUUAACAAUUAAAAAUGCCUAAUGACUGCAGAGAUCCAUGUAUAAAUUCAGUAUAUGCUUUUUACAAAAAUUAAACAUGUCUAUGUUAAAUGGAAGGGGAGAAGAAGAAUAUCAGAUUUUACCUGAAUUUCAUACCUGCUUUAGGAAAAAUCAUUUGUCUUCGGAAAAUACUAUCUUUAAGCAAUAUUCCAGGCAAUGCUGCAAGUGACAGUGAAACACUACCUCAGCAAUGCUUCAAUUUCUGGAAAGGCCUAAAAAUUAUUCAGCAUCUACUUAACAAAGUAAUGUUUGGGUUUGAUACAGAAAAUAUUUUAAUUAAAAAAAAGAAAUAAAAUCUAACUCAGUUCUUCAGUAGAAUGAUGCACCACUCCAUCCCUGAAACAGCCUAGAGAGAGACAUAGGUAAAAGGUGGCAGGGAUGAAGUCAAAAGCUUAAUCUUAUCAUUUUGGUGACAGUGACAAUAAAACUGAAAGAUCCGCAAAUUAGCUGAUCCUGGAGGAUGGCUGGGGAGGGCACUGCCACCUUCAUUGACAUUCUUCCCCUCUGGCAAUGUUGGCCUCAUCAACCUCUGGCACUGCUCCCUGGCAAAGUCAGCUCCAGGACCACCAUGUUGCUAGGCACGCUGCAACUGAGUCUGAGGUCUGUUAAAGGGAUAUUUCCACCAAGAGCAGUGGCUUGAAUUGAGAGAUACAGAUACUCAGCAUCCAAACACCAACAUUUAAAUAAAAAUAUUUUAAAAAAUCAAUAUAUUUGUUUGGCUACAACUGUAAUAUGGAAAGAUAAAAUAGUUUCAUGUUGAGAACCAACUGUGAGAGAGUGUUUAAUCUGAUGCAUUUCCCAUCAACUCAAUAUCCUAUUACAGCUAUCUUUUGUUUAUCAACUUAAUUUUUCAUAUGCAAGAUGAAACAGCUAAUUAAAUAACAGACUAGUUAUUUAAUGAUUAAUUAAAUAACUAAUCAUUACACUGAUAUACUUUUCUCAAUAGUCAAUUUCUAAUACUGACUGAUUAGUUAUUUUACCCAAAAAGAUUACACCUUGUUAGUUUUGCUGAGUGUGAAAACUUAAGUGUCCUUAUGGAUAUGCAGAUGUCAAACACUAAUGAAUUAAAAAUAAUCAUAAAAAGAACAUAAAUGCUAUUUUUAAUAGGUCUUCAUAAACUGUAUCUAUGAAAGCAAAACACUCCAAACUUCUCAGUAGAGGAAACACAAAGAUUCUGCACAAAAAUAAACCCAGCAUGGUACCUUAUGCUUUACCAAGUACAAUUAUAAAAUGGAUUCUUAAGCAGAAAUGACAAGGAGGGGGGAGAAUAUCUUACUAUAAGACAAUAAGCAAACUUGAAAAAGACAGCAUUGUGCUUUUCAUUAUUACAUUUUUAUUUCCCUUUAAAGAACAGUAUUUUAAGGAGAAAUUCAUUUAGCCAUUCCAGAAAAUAAGGAAGCACAUAGGAUUUGGUGAAGAUUACUUUUCUGGUAGUGUUUUUGCUGCCAUCACACCUUUUUUUUUUUUUACUUUUCCAUAGGCUGAGGACAUGAAGUUCCAAAAAGGGUAAGGCAACUGACCCUGACAUAGCCUCUGUUAGACUACAAGUGGAAGUACUCAAGAGAAAUGUAACAGCACAACAUAAUCUACCUGCACAAAGGAGCUUUAAACAUAUACCUAUAUCUACAGCUACAGAUAAAUAUUUGUUUGCUUACCUAUUAGGCAUCUUUUUAUUUAACAUUGUUUCAUUUUAUUUAAUUAACCUUUUUAUUUAAUGUUUUACAUAUGUUUUCUUCUCAUGGCUUUUUUUAUUUUAUUAAAUGAACUUAGAGUUUUAGCGACUCCCUCAAUGUAUCUGUAUAUGGAGAGACUUUACUAUUACCCAUAUUAUCAACACUGAUUUUUUUCAUGUCAAUUUCUUUAGCUAGUAUCUGGUCACCUAUUUACUAGGUAUUUCACAAAUCAGAAAGAUCUUUAGGCAUAUGAAAGUGGGAUAUGUACCCCAGAUGCCAGCUUUAAAAUUUUCAUUCUUUAAUCAGAUUUUUCCACAAAAGAACAUAAGACUUUAUAUAAUACUGGAAUGAAAACCAAAAGUGACAGAUUGGGUGACUGGAAUUUCUACUGGACUUUUUUCAUCCAUUAAAAUGUCCAGCCUUAUAAUUUUGGAAGAGAAUUUAGCACCAGCUGGAAUCCUCGGACAGCAAUAGUAAAAUAGUAACAAACCUCCCUCAAAUAAAAGUUUAAAUCAUGAGUUUGGAAAACGCUUUCAAAAAAUGAAACACACUAAAUUUAAAAAUUAAUGGGACUGACCACCAGGUCACAUCCUGUCAUCGGGUAAACAGCAAGAAGAAAUGCAGUAUUUAAGUCUGCCGAGGAUGUUUGAUUUCACGAAUUCCAGGAGACCAUGAGACUCAGAUUUACAAAGAACAGGUUAAAAUGUGACUUUACAGCAACUGAAAUUCAGGGUCCAGAUAAGUAUAUUAGUGUUCUUGCACCAACUACAUUAAGCCAAUGUUUAACAAACAAAUAAAAGGGUGAAGAACCUAGGAUCCUAUGAUUUGUUUGCAGGAUAUUGGACUCCUACUAUAUGCUCUCCCUCUUACAGCCUGAGGAAAUUUUCAGUUCUACCUGACAACUCUACAAGUUCAACACAAUGAUAGAGAGAAAUGUAUUGCUAACUCUGCCCUUUAGGGCAAGAAGCUGGUGGGCUGCUGAGUAAACCUUGUGCUGCAGCCUCUGAAGUGAAGCUCUCUUUCUGACCUACCGUUUGCAGGCAAGAAAGCUUCAAAUUGCUGUACAUCAGCUCCAUUUGCUGACGUUAUACAAGCAGGGUUCAACUAAGGCACUACUGAUACAAAUGAGUUAGCUUGUAUAUUUCUACAUAUGUGUAGUUACAGUACCAUGCUAACAAUGCAUCUACCAGCUCCACACUGUGUUUAAUAAAGGUUAGUUCAACUUCAAGCACGUUCUAGAACUUUCCUUGAAUUUCAGGAGGUCCCAUAAAAACUUGUUACCAGGAAUGCCAAUAAAAAACAGAAGCAGUAGUAAGUGGACAGCUCCGGAGCACAGAUAUAAAAUUACUUUAUUGGUAUGAAACCAGCCCUGUGACUUGUGAAAGACUGUAUGUUUCAUUGUUCCUUGCCC